GGGGCGCUAACACUACUUCUCGAUGUUUGAAUUUGUGGAGCUACGGUAGCUUCUUUGUGUUGUUCCGAAAAUUAGCUUCACGCUAAUGUUGGUUUUGUCAUCGUGCAAUAACCUUCAGACACAUCACAUGACCUUCAUGCUUAUGAUUGUUGUUGUCUGUUAGCGUUCAUGCUAGCAGGAAUUAACUUCACCUUCAAAGUAAAAGACCCCCAUUCCCCCGGUUCAAGUCUGUUAGGUGUAGAAUGUUGUUGCUGCCCCCUUGUGGCAAUCAUGACAUGUUCAAGCUUGAAAGCUAAGCUCCACUCGUCUUAUCUGCGCCUGCACACGUUCCGAGCGGACCUGACCCGCUGAGCCGAGCCUCCACUGUGGAAUGACUGAUAAGCACAAAGAAACAAAUUCAUUGUACAUGUAAACGUCUUUGGAGACUGACUCUGGAUCAGCUCGGCCCCCCGGGCACCGACAUGGCGCGCCCUCCACUUGGCACGCUCGUGAGCGUGGCGGGAACGUUAGCAUUCACGGAUGGAAUAGCACAUUAUUUGCAUGAGAAUUCCUUUGUGGCUUCAUGGAAAAUCAUUUGUAGUAACAUCAUCAUUGGGUCACGUGACUUCCUGGGGGAUGUCAUCGGCAACACCAUAGUUGAUGCCAUAGGUGACACCGUAGUUGAUGCCAUAGGUGACAUCAUGGGUGGCAACAUCGAUGAAAGAGGUGACAACAUAGAUGGCGUCGUAAGUGACAUCACUGUCACCAUAGGUGGCAUUGUAUGUGGCAUUGGCACCGUAGGUGACAUCAUUGGUGACAUCAUCGUCACCGUCGGUGACAUCACAGUCACCAUGGAUGACAUAGGUGACACCUUAUGGUGUCAUUGACACCGUAGAUAAAAAGAUGUGACACCAUAGGUAGAUUCAUAGAUGACAUCAUAGUCACCUGGUCACCAUCGUAGUCACCCUAGCUGACAUCAUCUUUGACACCACGGAUGACAUCAUGGGUGACAUAGGUUACACCGUUGUCACUAUAGGUGACGCCAUAGAUGAUGACAUAUAUGACACCAUAGAUCAAUUAUAGGUGACAGUAUAGAUGACACCAUAGGUGACAUCAUAGUGGAUGUCAUAGAUGACACCAUAGGUGACAUCAUUGGUCUCAUCGUUGGUGGUGACAUCAUAUAUGAAACAUAAGGUUACAUCGUAGGUAACAGAUGACACCAUAGAUGACAUCAUAGGCGACAUCAUAGAAUGACGCCAUAGGUGUCGUCAUAGGUAACACCAUAGAUGGCACCAUAGGUGACAUCAUUGGUCUCACUGUUGGUGGUGACAUCAUAUAUGAAACAUAAGGUGACAUCAUAGGUAACAGAUGACACCAUAGGUAACACCAUAGAUGACACCUUAGAUGACAUCAUAGGCGACGUCAUAGAUGACGCCAUAGGUGUCGUCAUAAGUAACACCAUAGAGGGCACCAUUGGUAACACCUUAGAUGACACCAUAGAUGACAUCAUAGGCGACGUCAUAGAUGACGCCAUAGGUGUCGUUAUAGGUAACACCAUAGAUGACACCUUUGAUGACAUCAUAGGUGACAUCAUUGGUCUCACCGUUGGUGGUGACAUCAAUAAUGAAGGUGACAUCAUAGGUAACAGAUGACACCUUAGGUAACACCAUAGAUGACACAAUAGAUGACACCAUAGGUGUCGCCAUAGGUAACACCAGAGGUGUUGUCAUAGGUAACGGCAUAGGUGGGGUCAUAGAUGACACCAUAGGUGUCGUAAUAGGUGACACCAUAGAUGAUACCUUAGGUAACACCAUAGAUGAUACCUUAGGUAACACCAUAGAUGACACCUUAGGUAACACCAUAGAUGAUACCAUAAGUAACACCAUAGAUGACACCUUAGGUAACACUAUAGAUGAUACCUUGGGUAACACCAUAGAUGACACCCUAGGUAACACUAUAGAUGAUACCUUGGGUAACACCAUCGAUGACACCUUAGGUAACACCAUAGAUGAUACCUUGGGUAACACCAUAGAUGAUACCUUAGGUAACACCAUAUAUGACACCUUAGGUAACACCAUAGAUGAUACCUUGGGUAACACCAUAGAUGAUACCUUAGGUAACACCAUAGAUGAUAGCUUAGGUAACACCAUAGAUGAUAGCUUAGGUAACACCAUAGAUGAUAGCUUAGGUAACACCAUAGGUAACGCCAGAGGUGUCGUCAUCGGUAACGCCAUAGGUGACGUCAUAGGUGACGCCAUAGGUGACGCCAUAGGUGACACCCUAGAUGACAUGGACACGCGGCAAGAUGUGGGUUACGUCACCGGAUAAAAAUAGAUCAUGUAGAUGAAAAGAUGUACAAAAGACAAAUGUCAUCUAUGUUUUAUACAAUUGUUUUCUAUUUUUAUACACAUGUAACCCGUGUAAAUUAUUAUUUUUCUGAUUUAGAGAUGUUUUAUUUUUUCUGGCCACCAUCUUAUCAAUCACCUGGAUGUGAACCAAUCACUGAUCAUCUUCUAGCGUCCAUGGAGUUAAUGUCAACUUGUUGUCAAAGAAGAAGAAGUUCUACAAUAAUAUAUUUCAUAAGAUAUAACAGUGGCAUGCAAACUGUGUACAUGUGCACGCUGACUCUACUCAAUAAGAAUAAUAAUAAUAGGAAUAAUAAUCUUGUCAAUCAUUAUGAAGAAUUGCGUGUAUGAUAGAUGACAUGUACUUUUCUAUGACGUGUCAAAGUGUCAAUCAAACUUCUUUGUGUUUGUGUGAUGGAUGCUCGCCGUGUGGGUUGGCGCUGACUGGUCUGCAAGAGCCACGUGUUACUUUUUGUACUUUUUGUGUUUUUGUACUUCUUUUUGUGUUUGCCGACGAUUAAAGUCGCAAUCUCGUCUGAAA